AUUGAACGCUGGCGGCAUGCCUUACACAUGCAAGUCGAACGGCAGCAUGAUCUAGCUUGCUAGAUUGAUGGCGAGUGGCGAACGGGUGAGUAAUACAUCGGAACGUGCCCUGUAGUGGGGGAUAACUAGUCGAAAGAUUAGCUAAUACCGCAUACGACCUGAGGGUGAAAGUGGGGGACCGCAAGGCCUCAUGCUAUAGGAGCGGCCGAUGUCUGAUUAGCUAGUUGGUGAGGUAAAGGCUCACCAAGGCGACGAUCAGUAGCUGGUCUGAGAGGACGAUCAGCCACACUGGGACUGAGACACGGCUCAGACCCCUACGGGAGGCAGCAGUGGGGAAUUUUGGACAAUGGGCGAAAGCCUGAUCUAGCAAUGCCGCGUGUGUGAAGAAGGCCUUCGGGUUGUAAAGCACUUUUGUCCGGAAAGAAAUGGCUCUGGUUAAUACCUGGGGUCGAUGACGGUACCGGAAGAAUAAGGACCGGCUAACUACGU
rnacentral:rRNA from 1 species